rfam:Streptomyces cattleya DSM 46488, complete genome.
GCCGGUCCUCGGUAGUGGCCUCCGGGAUGACGCAUCGCGCCCCGGCGGCUUCGAUCGAAGACCGGU